UGACCUCGGAUCAGGUAGGGAUACCCGCUGAACUUAAGCAUAUCAAUAAGCGGAGGAAAAGAAACCAACAGGGAUUGCCUCAGUAACGGCGAG
rnacentral:rRNA from 5 species